rnacentral:rRNA from 1 species
GACGAACGCUGGCGGCGUGCCUAAUACAUGCAAGUAGGACGCAGUUGCGAACGGGUGAGUAACGCGUAGGCAACUACCUAUUAGUGGGGGAUAACUAUUGGAAACGAUAGCUAAUACUGCAUACUAGUCGAUGGAUCUGCGUUGUAUUAGCUAGUAGGUAGGGUAAUGGGCUACCUAGGCAACGAUACAUAGCCGAACUGGGAAGGUGAUCGGCCCCACUGGGACUGGUACGAGGGCCAGACUCCUACGGGAGGCAGCAGUAGGGAAUCUUCGGGAAUGGGGGGAACCCUGACCGAGCAACGCCGCGUGAGUGAAGGAGGUUUUCGGGUCGUAAAGCUCUGUUGUUAAGGAAGCGGUACUUAACCAGAAAGGGACGGCUAACUACGUGCCAGCAGCCGCGGUAAUAC